rnacentral:lncRNA from 1 species
GACAGGAAAGAGCAGGAGCGUCCUUGAGGUCUGUGAUGGGAAGAACUGUUCCAGAAAGUUUCCUCCCAGCUUUGAUUGCUUUAGUUGAUCCUAUUCCAAACUCAUCCCCUAGGACAGCUGAUGUCUGGGAGGAUCCCAGAGAGGUGAUUGAGCCCUCCUUUCCUCUCUAUGUGUGAAGUCCUGCCAGGGAGUAGGGGGAUGGAGCAGAUCACCUUCAACCUCCAUCCAACUGGAGAAUGGAAUGAGCAACAGAUGAACCGGCCGAUCCAGGUGAAACCUGCAGACAGCGAGAGCCGAGGAGGAGCCUCCAGGCAGCUUGAAGAGCUCCAGGAGCAAAAGGUGUGGAGAUCAGCAUCAUCUUCAUCAUCAUCACCAACCAUCAUCUUCAUCGUCGAAAGGUAUCCACUAGGUGCCUUACAGACUCCCAGUGAGCUCAAGAGAUUCCCCACUCUCUGCCCUCAAGGAGUUGCCAGUCUGAAACAGACAGCUGAUAGCUGCAAUCUUAGAAGGUUCCAGGAGACCACAGGAUGGUGAAGAAGUGUUAAACAAAAUGGGAAGAUCAGAUGAACUUUGGGAAGCGAGGGAGGAAUGCUGGCUGUGGCAAGAGAGGCUGGG